AGAACUUUUUUAGAAAAUAAAAGUAAUGAACAAGACAUUAUAUGCAUAUGUAAUAUGUGUGUAUAUGUAUGUGUGUUACAUAUAUAUGGAUACACCAAUCCCUUAUUAGAUUGAGGUCACACUUCCUUGAUCUACUCCCAAGACCAAUUGUAUGAAAUUAUCAAUUUGGUCCUCUGAUGCAAAUUCAUUUACACAACUUACACAAAUUCCGAACUGAUGCAUUUUAUCUAUAACUGCUAGAUUGAUAUUUGUAUGCCAUUUGCACGUUGAAAAUACCAUACUAAUAAGGAGAUGGUUGCAGUGAUGUUGAAGAUUGUGUAUUGACAUUUUCUUUGUCUAACUGUCAUGUUGGUACUUGGCUGAGGUAAAUAUCUAAAUUGCUCAACUUUUUUUGCACAUAAAUACAAAAUUUUGUACUGGCAUUUUCUUUGUUUAACUGUCAUGUUGCUAUAUAGGUACAACAAAGUGCAGAUUUUAUUUUAAAUUCGGUAGCAAUAUGAGAAACAACUGACAUGGAAUCCAAUUUGGAGCAAACUGGUAGGCAGAUGGCAGAAUGUGUAAAGUUUAUCCUGAUGGCUGUGUUUGCAUAUCAAUCUUACAUCCUCCUAGUGAGCAACCGAAUGGGAAUGACCUUGCAAGUGAAUUAAAGAUACCGGUUCAUACAGUAUGUCAUAAACACUUCAUACUAAAGCAUGCAUGCUUUCUUUUUAUAAAGUAGGUAAAUCUGAAAUUAAAAGUCUUUUCUUUCCAAGUUUUGAUUCAAGGAAGGUUGUGCUAUGUUCAUAUUCUAAAGCAGUUGUUGAAAUA